CUCUGCCCAUCUAUUUUUAGCGUGACGGAGUAUAUAUCUCAGUUGCAGUCCGCGCAGUUCCAUUUCCCAAGUCAAGACUUCUGCAGAAAAGAAGCAAGUCCUCGUUUGAUCGUCAACAAACUCGGUAGAAAAAGCCGCAACCAUGAAGUUUUCUCUUUGUUUGCUGAUUAUCACUAUGGUCGUCAUGGCAACGCUGAUUGACUACACCGAAGGUUGGAGGCGCAGGGGAAGUGAAGGCGCCGCGAAAGUUGCUGCAGAUAAAAGGAUGGACCUAAUGGAGACCCUGGAAGAGGUGGAGUCGGCACUGGUUGAGACCGCGAAGCUGACUGAAGAGGUGGCUGCAAGGGAGCUGGAGGAGAUCGAGCUGGAGGAAAACGACGUCAAAAAGUGAUGGCAGCUCCCGGUGACCGUCCGGACGUCCCCUGACACUGGAGUUUGAACUUCUCAUGACGUCAGCUGGACAAGAGUAGCCAUGUGAUGAUGUUUACUUGAAUAAAAAGAAAAUGUCUGUAGAAAAUUCUCGUAGAUAUUUCUCCAAUCUAUCUUAUGGUGUGCUUCCGGUUUGCUACCUAAGACAUCGCCUGACUUCAGGUGCCACCAUGCAUGUCUAAAAAUGUUCUUUUUCAAAAAUUCUUUGUGGUGUUAAGUACCAUACACAUGUAGUGUUCAGUCCAACAAUGCAAAAAGUAUACAGAAGAAAACGAUUACAUCUCAGUAUUUACGUCAUGGAACUAAUAACGGCUGAUUCAUUUGGGGAUUCUUGGUGUAAUAAAAUCUACUGAAAAAAA